UGGGGAAUUUUGGGCAAUGGGCGAAAGCCUGAUCCAGCAAUGCCGCGUGUGUGAAGAAGGCCUUCGGGUUGUAAAGCACUUUUGUCCGGAAAGAAAUCCUUGGCUCUAAUACAGUCGGGGGGAUGACGGUACCGGAAGAAUAAGCACCGGCUAACUACGUGCCAGCAGCCGCGGUAAUACGUAGGGUGCAAGCGUUAAUCGGAAUUACUGGGCGUAAAGCGUGCGCAGGCGGUUUGCUAAGACCGAUGUGAAAUCCCCGGGCUCAACCUGGGAACUGCAUUGGUGACUGGCAGGCUAGAGUAUGGCAGAGGGGGGUAGAAUUCCACGUGUAGCAGUGAAAUGCGUAGAGAUGUGGAGGAAUACCGAUGGCGAAGGCAGCCCCCUGGGCCAAUACUGACGCUCAUGCACGAAAAGCGUGGGGGAGCAAAACAGGAUUAGAUACCCUGGGUAGUCCACGCCCUAAAACGAUGUCAACUAGUUGUUGGGGAUUCAUUUCCUAGUAACGUAGCUAACGCGUGAAGUUGACCGCCUGGGGGAGUACGGUCG
rnacentral:rRNA from 1 species